rnacentral:rRNA from 1 species
CAGUCGCCACGGGAAUACGUAGGGUGCAAGCGUUAUCCGGAAUUAUUGGGCGUAAAGAGCUCGUAGGCGGUUUGUCGCGUCUGCUGUGAAAACUGGAGGCUCAACCUCCAGCCUGCAGUGGGUACGGGCAGACUAGAGUGCGGUAGGGGAGAUUGGAAUUCCUGGUGUAGCGGUGGAAUGCGCAGAUAUCAGGAGGAACACCGAUGGCGAAGGCAGAUCUCUGGGCCGUAACUGACGCUGAGGGGCGAAAGCAUGGGGAGCGAACAGGAUUAGAUACCCCUGUAGUCCCUGUCUCUUAUAC